GACGAACCGUGCGAACGUUAUUCGGAAUCACUGGGCUUAAAGCGCGUGUAGGCGGGACGGCACGUCGGUCGCUGAAAGCCCCCGGCUCAACCGGGGAACGGGCGCGAUACGACCGGCCUGGAGGGACGUAGGGGGACCUGGAACUUCCGGUGGAGCGGUGAAAUGCGUUGAGAUCGGAAGGAACGCCCGUGGCGAAAGCGAGGUCCUGGACGUUUUCUGACGCUGAGACGCGAAAGCUAGGGGAGCGAACGGG
rnacentral:rRNA from 1 species